AAGGGGUCCUGCUUGUUGGAGAAGACGUUGCCCUGAAGCGCUGUCUCGUGCUGGCAGUACUCGGCUCGGACUCGCAGGCGGAUGUCUGAGGGAAGCAGGGAGGGCGAGCCAUGAAUAAGAAUGAGGCAGAAGGAGACGAGACCUCCUGGCUGCUGUGGGGCCUGGAAGGACAUGGGAACCAGAAACAAGCAUCAACUCGUUAAGUCUGGAGGAGACUUCCUUUAACCGAUCGAUCCCUCCUCUUUGAAUGCAAAGCGCUGCACAUUAUAAACCACAUGUAAGGUGCCUUUCUUAAUAAAGCUUUCUGAAAUGCUA